UACGUAGGGAGCAAGCGUUGUCCGGAAUCAUUGGGCGUAAAGCGCGCGUAGGUGGCCACAUAAGUCCGUUGUGAAAGUCAAAGGCUCAACCUUUGAAAGCCGAUGGAUACUGUGUGGCUAGAGUACGGAAGAGGCGAGUGGAAUUCCUGGUGUAGCGGUGGAAUGCGCAGAUAUCAGGAAGAACACCCGUGGCGAAGGCGGCUCUCUGGGACGGUACUGACGCUGAGACGCGAAAGCGUGGGGAGCGAACAGG
rnacentral:rRNA from 1 species